CUAGCGUCUCCGGUGAUCCGCCACUCGAGAAGAGAAAGGCGCGCUCACCUGGACAGCGCGGCUCAGCGGCACAGAAUGCUGUCGCCCUGUUUGUUCACCGCGCCGGCCUGGAACAGCAACGGAACACCAAGGGAAAGGUCAAACCAGUUUUCCCUGGAAGUGUGGAGUGACCACGAAAGGCAAAAGUAAACUACCUGUCCUGUUGAUAAAACUGUAAACAAGAAAUAAGUGAAUAGAAAAGGCAAAUUUUACCAAAUUUCUUUGUGAAGAGUCAGGUGCUGAUUUAUUUUGUGGAACAGCCAAAUACUAUGUAAGAAAAAAAAAUCAGCUGCUCUGGGGAAAAUGUGACAUAAUCUGCAAGAUUCUCUAAGAAACUCUUGGAUCCCAGCUCUGGAGAAGUGAUGAGUUCUGCAUCCUAAUCUGUCCUCAGCUCUACCAUUGACUGGGCUCUCAAAGAAAAGGGAAAUCUUUGAGAAACAGUGAGAUGAAAUUGCCUUAGAAAAUUCUGACCAGAUGAACAUCAAACAGGCAGAGGUGGUGCGGGGGAAAGGAGAAAGAGACAGAAAGAAACGUCCAUUGGUUGCCUUCAAUGCCCACGCUCCCGGAACCAGUAACCUAGGUCUUUGGAUCCCAGAUGCCACUAAACCAUGAGACCCACAAGGACAGGGCUCUAUCUGAUGCGGUCUGGAGGUACUUGACAAGUGUUUGUGAACAACUGAAAAAGUGGUAAAUGAUGUACUUGUUGGGUUCAUCUGUUUGAAAUUUACAAAGUAGAUGGCAGCUCAGAACAGCCUGAAGCUCAGAUUCCAGGGUUGUGCACAGAUACUCCCGUGGUCGGCACAUGUGCAUGCGCACACGUGAAGAGCCUGGAUAGAAGGGGAAUGAACUAGCAGGAGGAAAACAACUGAAGAAGAAAACAGCUGUGCAACAGUGGGGAAGGCAAGUGACAUCUCUUUCAGUUUUAUGAUUGCUUCCAAAAGUUGUGUUUUUCUUUGUUACAUACAAUUUAAGUUCCAUGUGAUUCUUAGAACUUUGGAAUAAAUUUUGGAAUAAAA